UACGGAGGGGGCGAGCGUUUAUUCGGAAUUAUUGGGCGUAAAGGGUGCGUAGGCGGCCUGCUAAGUCGAACGUGAAAUCCCUGGGCUCAACCCAGGAACUGCGUCCGAUACUGGUUGGCUUGAAUCCGGGAGAGGGACGUGGAAUUCCAGGUGUAGCGGUGAAAUGCGUAGAUAUCUGGAGGAACACCGGUGGCGAAGGCGACGUCCUGGACCGGUAUUGACGCUGAGGCGCGAAAGCCAGGGGAGCAAAGCGGG
rnacentral:rRNA from 1 species